AAACUAUUCAACAUGGACGUGCCGGAUAGUCUCGU
rnacentral:sRNA from 1 species